CGAGGCGGUCGGCUGGGCCGGGUCUGCGGUCCUCGUGUGGUCGCUGUUGCAGACGCAGCUGCGACGGCUCCGGCUCAUCAACCUCGUC
rnacentral:tRNA from 1 species